UUUGCCAACUCAAAAGUUUUCAGUAACUGAUAUUACUUCGAAUCUAUAUCAAGCGGCGUUUUUCAAUUAUCCGAAAUGAAGUGUGUUGUUUAUUUAUUAGCACUGACACUCUGCGUCCUGUUUUUUGAACAAACUCUGGCCCAGUGCUCGAAUGAACCACGGAACCCUAUCUGUAGAGGACCAGAGGAUAUUGGUACGGGAGGUAGAGGAUGCCGACCUGGGAUAAGGUGGGCUUACGAUUGGCGAAGUAGAACGUGCUUCAGAUUCCGUUAUCUUGGCUGUGAAGGUAAUCGGAACCGUUGGUGUUCACUUAGAGAAUGUCAGGACAAUUGUGAACGGCGUCAAUAGGAUAUUAAAUAUGAGUUUUAUAUUAAACUUGUGUAUAUAUGUAUAAUCGCAAAUAUACAUACAUACAUUUUUUUCUUUA